AGUCGCACGAGAAACUAAUUAGCUUGCUAAGAGGUGGACAGUGGCGCAAGGGAGAGUAACGCGUGGUUACUUACCCUCGAGACCGGGAUAGUGUCGGGAAACUGGCAGUAAUACCGGAUAACAUCUUCGGAUCAAAUGGUGUGAUUCCGCUCGAGGAUAGGACCGCGUACUAUUAGCUUGUUGGUGAGGUAACGGCUCACCAAGGCUGCGAUGGUUACCGGGUGUGAGAGCAUGGCCCGGCUCACUGGGACUGAGACACUGCCCAGACACCUACGGGUGGCUGCAGUCGAGAAUCUUCGGCAAUGGACGAAAGUCUGACCGAGCGACGCCGCGUGCGGGAUGAAGGCCCUCGGGUUGUAAACCGCUGUCAGUAGUUAGGAAGUCCAUGAGGGUUAUCUCUCAUGGUUGACCGAUCUUCAGAGGAAGGACGGGCUAAGUUCGUGCCAGCAGCCGCGGUAAGACGAACCGUCCAAACGUUAUUCGGUAUCACUGGGCUUAAAGCGUGCGUAGGCGGCUUGGUAGGUGAGAUGUGAAAGCCCACGGCUCAACCGUGGAAUUGCGUUUCAAACCCCCAAGCUCGAGGAAGAUAGGGGUGAUGGGAACUUAUGGUGGAGCGGUGAAAUGCGUUGAUAUCAUAGGGAACACCGGUGGCGAAAGCGCAUCACUGGAUCUUUUCUGACGCUGAGGCACGAAAGCUAAGGUAGCGAACGGGAUUAGAUACCCCGGUAGUCCUAGCCGUAAACGAUGAACACUGGGUUGAGGGGGCUUCCACAUCCUCUCGGCCGUAGCGAAAGCGUUAAGUGUUCCG
rnacentral:rRNA from 1 species